UUGACCUCGAAUCAGGUAGGAAUACCCGCUGAACUUAAGCAUAUCAAUAAGCGGAGGAAAAGAAACCAACCGGGAUUACCUCAGUAACG
rnacentral:rRNA from 2 species